UAGAUAACAUCGUAACGCGCUUCGUUAGCGGUUGGUUGGAGCAACUCUUUACAAUGUUUCUA
rnacentral:miRNA from 1 species